rnacentral:rRNA from 1 species
UGCCAGCAGCCGCGGUAAUACAUAGGGGUCAAGCGUUGUCCGGAUUUAUUGGGCGUAAAGAGCUCGUAGGCGGUUCAACAAGUCGGUCGUAAAAGUUUAGGGCUCAACCCUAAAAUGUCGAUCGAUACUGUUGUGACUAGGAUACGGUAGAGGUGAGUGGAAUUCUAAGUGUAGAGGUGAAAUUCGUAGAUAUUUGGAGGAACACCAGUGGCGAAGGCGGCUCACUGGCUCGAUACUGACGCUGAGGUACGAAAGUGUGGGGAGCAAACAGGAUUAGAUA